rnacentral:lncRNA from 1 species
GGUGGAGGGAGGGGCCCGUGAUGGCCGGUGCCACCGCCGUCGCGCUGUCCCUUGCCGCGCUGCCGGCCGCCGCCCCGCUGCCAGCUCCCGCCGCCGCCAUGGCCGAGGAGGAGGCCUCCAGCGAAAGGUUAGGAUGGUUGUUCAGCUGGCUUCCUGCUUGGUGCCCCACGUCACUACUGCACCUUAAAGAAGCUGAGGACAAAAUGCUAAAAUGUAUUACAAGCACAUACAAUAAGCGGUAUGUGUAUCUAGCUAAUGGAAACAAGAUAUGGACACUGACGUUCUCUCCAGACCUUUCACGUAAAACUCCACUUGUUCUACUUCAUGGAUUUGGAGGAGGUGUUGGAAUGUGGGCUCUCAAUUUUGAAGAGCUCUGUGAAAACAGGACCGUUCAUGCUUUCGACCUCUUGGGAUUUGGACGAAGCAGUAGACCACACUUUGAUACUGAUGCUCGGGAAGCAGAAAAUCAGUUUGUGGAAUCCAUAGAAGAGUGGAGAAAGGAGAUGGGGCUAGAAAAAAUGAUUUUGCUUGGACACAAUCUGGGUGGAUUCCUGGCUGCUGCUUACUCGUUAAAAUACCCAUCAAGGUCUAAGCCUUGUUCAGCGUUUAAGACCAGAUUUCAAACGAAAAUAUGCAUCGAUGUUUGAUGAUAACACUGUGACUGAAUAUAUCUAUCACUGCAAUGUGCAGUCGCCCAGUGGUGAAACAGCUUUCAAGAACAUGACUAUUCCUUAUGGAUGGGCAAAAAGGCCAAUGCUGCAACGGAUUCCACAAAUGGAUCAAGACAUUCCUAUCACCGUGGUUUAUGGAGCACGUUCAUGCAUAGACGGCAAUUCUGGCAGCACUAUCCAGUCUCUGAGACCAAAGUCAUAUGUGAAGACAAUAGCUAUCCUUGGUGCAGGUCAUUACGUGUACGCUGAUCAGCCUGAAGACUUCAAUCAGAAAGUGAAAGACAUCUGUGAUUCUGUGGACUGACCGUCUUCUGUCCUUUAGAGUCUUACACCGUAGACACCAUUCAAUAGCAAUACUCUGUAGGAAAUGAGUAAAGAAUGCGGAGCUAAUGAAACAGGCUCUGUUUGCACACUGUUUCUUCUAAGAAGCAAUUUGCACACUUAAACCACUAAGUGCCUUUUGGGCAUAGGUAGAUUUGAAGCAAAUGUACAGUUUUAUUUGAGAUUUGUCUUUAGACUGUUGGCCUGCCAUAUAUGAAAUUGCUUAGGACUUUUUAAACUGGAAUUUUCUUUAAAAUGCAGUUGAAUAUUGUUCACCUGUUGAACUCUAUCUAAAGAUGUUGAAUUCACCACUAACACAGAGAUCUUUGUCAGUAUGGAUCUAAUGUAUAAAUUGUGGUUUUGUUUAUUCAUAAACAUUCAUAUUUUCUAGUUGGUAUUUCAUAGCAAGAAUAUGAAAUUGUUGUGUAUUUUGCUUAUGGAAUCCAGAACUCCAUGUACAAUAUUUUAAGAGUUUGAGUUUGUUUGUUUGUUUUAAAUUGGAAUGAUAACAGCUUAUGAAGCUGAUUUUGGGAGAGAGACAGGGCCAAAAUAAUGAGCAUUGCUUGUCACUGAAAAAGCAUAUGUUAAUUUGUAAGGAAUCAGGACUCAAUACUAGGAAAACUCCCUUCUCUUGUAUUUUAUUUCUCUUUAUCUCAAGGCAUCAUUUUGCACGUGUGCAGCUUUUACGGAAGCCUCAGUUUGUAAGAGUCAGCGAUGUAACAAGUGCUCAUGCAUCCAUAAAGAUUUUCUAUGUAGAUCUCAGUGAUAUAAAGGACGGAAAAUGGCUUGUUAGUUACUCUAUUUUUAACACUUCAUGAUUACUGCAGGAUUUAUUACUUGCCUAAACCUAACAACUGUGGAGAAGCUGGCAGGAAGAUUUUUACCAGGGCUGGGGAAUGGUCAUCUGGAUGAGUGAGCAUCAUUCCGUUUUUCUUUAGACAAAACUUCUACCAGUAAAUACAGGGAGGAGUGUGGGGCAGGCACAGAGGGAAGCUCUAAUUGGCACCCACAGCAGAUUAGUGCAUUGAAACUAGUGUGCAGCCUCUUUAUAGGAAGGAUUAUUACUGGAACAAACAAUACGGCUGUAACAAAUUAUAAUUAUAUGUUUUGGAGGUUCUUUAUGUAAUUAUAUAUUUUAAUGGAGUAUUUUGAAAUCAGAAAUAAUAACUUCUCUGCAUCUUUUUGAAACUGCAGUUUGAUGUUAAUUCUUCACAAGCUUUGUACAUUGUAUUAAGCAAAAAAAAAAAAAGACUUUGUCACUUUAAAGCCAAACUCUAUAUUGGUUUGUUUUUUAACGACAGAUUUACUUGAAACUAUUGAUCUGCUUUUGAAUGUUAAAUUGACUACUGAAAAAUUCUCAAUACUUUUCUACCUAGUGGAUUCAAAUUAAUGAUUGCACCAUCUUAAGGCUUCAGCAGAAUUUUGUACAUUUUUGCUCACAUUAAGGAACUGUUGCACACAUUUAUGGUAAAAACAGGCAAAGAUACCCAAAAUCUUCAGGAAAUACUCAGACUGUGUUCCUAGUGGAACAUAAUAUUUCUUUCUGAAGGAGAUGGAUAUCUGUAUGGUGCUGUGUAACAUCAGACGGUCUUCGUGACUGCCUUUGUGACUGCUAGCACUUAGCAAGCUAAGGAUUUUAAUUCAAAUAAAUUAUUAUAUUCAAUUGCUUUUUCACUUAGAUGAUACCAGGAUUUUUAAACAAAUUUCUAUGUUAUUUGCUAAAAUUUUGACUUCGGAAUGGAAAAUCAGGAUAUUCGAUUUUUGACUAUAAGCUAUGAAUUGUCGGCCAUGACACCCUUUCGGUGGAUGCCCUCAGUGUGUAUUUUUUUCACACUUUUGAAUGUCUGAUUUGCAUUUAUACACUUCAGCAGUUGCUUCAAUUAUUAUAAAUGUAAAAAUAUAUUUUGUCUUCCAAAAUAAUAAAAGGUGAAACAAAAUAUUGGCGUUUUUGGAUAGCACUUACUGAUGGGAAUUCUGGAUUCCACAUCAAAAGAUGAAAGUAGGGGUAAAAAUUGCACGUGAAUAUGAAUAUUCUUUGAAAUAUCCCUUGCUUUUUCAGCUCGUUGUACUAAUAAGAUUUAUUGCUUAUGUUUUGCACAAUAAAAAUAAAAUCUAAAAUGUUGUGUUUGAUUAAUGUUGACACGAUGUUGCUUUUGUAAAAAUGUGUAUGUAAUUAAGCUGUAGAAAUUAAGAGCAAUGAAUGAGUUGAGCUAAACCAUCCGAAACACAUUAAAAAUACUGUAAAGCUUU